AUUGAACGCUGGCGGCAGGCUUAACACAUGCAAGUCGAGCGGUAUCAGAGAGAAGCUUGCUUCUCUGCUGACGAGCGGCGGACGGGUGAGUAAUGCCUAGGAAUCUGCCUAGUAGUGGGGGAUAACUAGCCGAAAGGUAAGCUAAUACCGCAUACGCCCUACGGGAGAAAGGAGAGGACCUUCGGGCCUUUCGCUAUUAGAUGAGCCUAGGUCGGAUUAGUUAGUUGGUGAGGUCAUGGCUCACCAAGACCGCGAUCCGUAACUGGUCUGAGAGGAUGAUCAGUCACACUGGAACGGAGACACGGUCCAGACUCCUACGGGAGGCAGCAGUGGGGAAUAUUGGACAAUGGGGGGAACCCUGAUCCAGCCAUGCCGCGUGUGUGAAGAAGGUCUUAGGAUUGUAAAGCACUUUAAGUUGGGAGGAAGAGCAGUUAACUAAUAUUUGACUGUUUUGACGUUACCGACAGAAUAAGCACCGGCUAACUUCGUGCCAGCCGCCGCCGUAA
rnacentral:rRNA from 1 species